CUGGUACUUUGGCAGCAGACAUACUAAAACUGGAACAAUGCAGAGAUUAGCAUGGUCCCUGCACGUGGAUGACACACAAAUUCGUGAAGCCUUCCAUAUUUUU